GAUCAAUCCAGAGAAGGGCACAAAAGUUGAAACCAAGAAAAACAAGAAGCAACUUUCAGUGAACUUGAGUUCCUUCAGAGGUGUUUCUUCCUGAUCAAUCCAGAGAAGGGCACAAAAGUUGAAACCAAGAAAAACAAACUUGUUAUAUCUUGCCAGAACAAACUUUUCAGAUAAGCAAGGUAGGUAAGCUACUAGGAGGGACUUUGCAGAGCUUGUUGACUAGCCAUGCAUUUGAUUUAAUAAAGCUGUCCCUAAGGAAAAUUCAA